AUUCAAGUAUCUUAUAUAGAGUAUAACAUUGAAGCUGUUAUUGAGAUAAUAUUAUCUUUGAAUA
rnacentral:tRNA from 1 species